CUUGCCCAGAGAAGCACUGUAGGUAUGUGCUGUGUCACAUGUACAUCAGUAGAUGCAGAGAGGAAAGAGACUAUGUCUAUGAGAUGCUCAAUGCUCAAUAUUCUAACCUAUGAAUGUCUGAAUGAUUAACAGCCUAACAUU
rnacentral:snoRNA from 1 species